UACGAAGGGGGCUAGCGUUGCUCGGAAUCACUGGGCGUAAGGGGUGCGUAGGCGGGUAUUUAAGUCAGAGGUGAAAUCCUGGAGCUCAACUCCAGAACUGCCUUUGAUACUGAGUAUCUUGAGUACGGGAGAGGUGAGUGGAACUGCGAGUGUAGAGGUGAAAUUCGUAGAUAUUCGCAAGAACACCAGUGGCGAAGGCGACUCACUGGCCCGUUACUGACGCUGAGGCACGAAAGCGUGGGGAGCAAACAGG
rnacentral:rRNA from 1 species